rnacentral:rRNA from 2 species
GACUGUUCUCCGCCUGACUCAACCCGGUUAACAUACCGGCCAAUGUUGGCUCCCAUUGAUUUUGGCCAAAGGGCGGGGGGGAAACACUUGGCACCCCCCGGAGGGGGCACAUUUGAACAAGUUUUAACCGAAAAAAGUGUUUCCAAAACCAGUUAAAAGUGCUUCCGCACCUUUGGGAGGCCUGGGGCCUUAGUUGUGGGGGGAAACGCCCACCAGGCGGUGAUCCAUUCGGAUUGGAGGCUUAUCGCCACAAGGGGAUGGGCACGGCCCAUAUUCUUAGGGGGGCAGCAGUAGGAAUUUUCCACAAUGGGCGCAACCUGAGGAACAACACCGCGUGAGUGAAGAAGGUUUCGGCUCGUAAAGCUCUGUUGUAAAGAAGAACACGUAUGAGAGUACUGUUCAUACGUUGACGGUAUUAACCAGAAAGUCACGGCUAACUACGUGCCAGCAGCCGCGGUAAUACGUAGGUGGCAAGCGUUAUCCGGAUUUAUUGGGCGUAAAGAGAGUGCAGGCGGUUUUCUAAGUCUGAUGUGAAAGCCUUCGGCUUAACCGGAGAAGUGCAUCGGAAACUGGAUAACUUGAGUGCAGAAGAGGGUAGUGGAACUCCAUGUGUAGCGGUGGAAUGCGUAGAUAUAUGGAAGAACACCAGUGGCGAAGGCGGCUACCUGGUCUGCAACUGACGCUGAGACUCGAAAGCAUGGGUAGCGAACAGGAUUAGAUACCCUGGUAGUCCAUGCCGUAAACGAUGAGUGCUAGGUGUUGGAGGGUUUCCGCCCUUCAGUGCCGGAGCUAACGCAUUAAGCACUCCGCCUGGGGAGUACGACCGCAAGGUUGAAACUCAAAGGAAUUGACGGGGGCCCGCACAAGCGGUGGAGCAUGUGGUUUAAUUCGAAGCUACGCGAAGAACCUUACCAGGUCUUGACAUCUUGCGCCAACCCUAGAGAUAGGGCGUUUCCUUCGGGAACGCAAUGACAGGUGGUGCAUGGUCGUCGUCAGCUCGUGUCGUGAGAUGUUGGGUUAAGUCCCGCAACGAGCGCAACCCUUGUUACUAGUUGCCAGCAUUAAGUUGGGCACUCUAGUGAGACUGCCGGUGACAAACCGGAGGAAGGUGGGGACGACGUCAGAUCAUCAUGCCCCUUAUGACCUGGGCUACACACGUGCUACAAUGGACGGUACAACGAGUCGCGAACUCGCGAGGGCAAGCAAAUCUCUUAAAACCGUUCUCAGUUCGGACUGCAGGCUGCAACUCGCCUGCACGAAGUCGGAAUCGCUAGUAAUCGCGGAUCAGCAUGCCGCGGUGAAUACGUUCCCGGGCCUUGUACACACCGCCCGUCACACCAUGAGAGUUUGUAACACCCAAAGUCGGUGGGGUAACCUUUUAGGAGCCAGCCGCCUAAGGGGGACAGAUGAUUAGGGGAAGUCGAAUCAACGAGUCAGG